rnacentral:rRNA from 1 species
GAGAAAGAGAACAAGAGCGAACGGAGGAUGCCUUGGCUUCCGAAAGCGAAGAAGGACGUGGUAAGCUGCGAAAAGCUCCGGGGAUCUGCAAACAGGAAUUGAUCCGGAGAUGUCCGAAUGGGGGAACCCCUGCAGUUGAAGACUGCAGACCAUCAACAGAUGGGGCGAACGCAGGGAACUGAAACAUCUUAGUACCUGCAGGAAAAGAAAGAAAAUAUCGAUUCCCAAAGUAGUGGCGAUCGAAAUGGGAAGAGCCUAAACCGGUGGCGUUACGGCGUUGCCGGGGUUGUAGGACCAGUCACAAAGACCAAGCCAGGAACCGGAACUGUCUGGAAAGUCAGUCCGCAGAGGGUGAAAGGCCCGUACGGGUAACGGGGUUUGGUCGAGACAGGCACCUGAGUAGGGCGGGACACGUGGAAUCCUGUCUGAAUCUGCGGCGACCAUGCCGCAAGGCUAAAUAUGAUCGGAAGACCGAUAGUGGACCAGUACCGUGAGGGAAAGGUGGGAAGCACCCCGAACAGGGGAGUGAAAUAGAACCUGAAACCGUUCGUUUACAAGCGGUCGGAGCUCUAUUAAGAGCGACGGCGUGCCUUUUGCAUAAUGAGCCUACGAGUUGCAUCGCACUGGCGAGGUUAAGUUCUUCAGGAACGUGAGCCGCAGCGAGAGCGAGUCUGAACAGGGCGUUCAGUCAGUGCGAGCAGACGCGAAACCUAGUGAUCUACCCAUGGCCAGGGUGAAGGUGCCGUAACAGGCACUGGAGGCCCGAACCAGUUUCCGUUGAAAAGGGCUUGGAUGAGCUGUGGGUAGGAGUGAAAGGCCAAUCAAACUGGGAGAUAGCUCGUACUCCCCGAAAUGUCUUUAGGGACAGCCUCGGUUAUGAUUGCGUGAGGUAGAGCUACUGAUAGGAAAAGAGGGCUUCAUCGCCUAUCGAUUUCUGACAAACUCCGAAUGCGCGCAAUUCAGAUUCCGGGAGUGAGUCGUCGGGUGCUAAUAUCCGUCGGCAAAAGGGUAAGAGCCCAGACCUUCAGCUAAGGCCCCCAAGAGCAGUUUAAGUUGAGACGAAACGAAGUGACACCGCUAAGACAGCUAGGAUGUUAGCUUGGAAGCAGCUAUUCAUUCA